UGGGGAAUAUUGGACAAUGGGCGAAAGCCUGAUCCAGCCAUGCCGCGUGUGUGAAGAAGGUCUUCGGAUUGUAAAGCACUUUAAGUUGGGAGGAAGGGUUGUAGAUUAAUACUCUGCAAUUUUGACGUUACCGACAGAAUAAGCACCGGCUAACUCUGUGCCAGCAGCCGCGGUAAUACAGAGGGUGCAAGCGUUAAUCGGACUUACUGGGCGUAAAGGGUGCGUAGGCGGAAGGAUAAGUUAGUUGUGAAAUCUCUGGGCUUAACCCAGAACGGCCAAGUGAUACUGUCGCGCUAGAGUGCAGAAGGGGCAAUCGGAAUUCUUGGUGUAGCGGUGAAAUGCGUAGAUAUCAAGAGGAACACCUGAGGUGAAGACGGGUUGCUGGGCUGACACUGACGCUGAGGCGCGAAAGCCAGGGGAGCAAACGGGAUUAGAUACCCCUGUAGUCCCUGAGCGGGCUGGCAAGGCGCAU
rnacentral:rRNA from 1 species